UGCUUAUAAUUGAUGAACCUUUAUUUCUUAUGUGUACAGAUAUUUAUGUAUUUUGUAUACAUAAGUUUUGGUGAAAUAAAAAAUCGAUACUCUCUUUCUUGUGCGGGUAAGUCUAUUUUAUUUUAACUCAUUUUGUAUGUUAGGCCUCCAAGUCAUCUAAUUUAACUAAUUGCACACUUACUGGGCAAUAAAAGCUGUUGACAGUUAGGGAAAUCAAAAGGGUGUGAUUUUUCAAUUCCCUAAUUUAUUGGGAUUGUUUAGUAUUCUAUAAUUAAUGUUGUAUAGCCUAUAUAAUCUAGCCCUAGGGUAAAAACGAUUAUCAGAAAACAAUAUACAGAAAUAAAAUACAAAUAUUUCUCCCCUAUUUUAUAUGGUAUCAGAGUUGUAAGCCUCGAUCUCCUCUCUCUUCCGACCACCCUCUGUUUUUUCCUUCAUUUUUUACAGCGGUCGUUCCUUAGCUCUCAGGCGACAUUCAAGAUGUUCUAGGCAAAGUCGUCUCUCUCCAGCACCACUCAAGUCGUCCCUCCUUCCCAAUCCCAUCUCUCUGCCUUCUCCAAUCGUCCCUGUCCAACAAUUUUUUUAGGGCUCUGGCGAUAUCUGCGACUUCAAGCGUCUUCUGCAGCUCCAGCGACAUCCUUGGCAAUCCUCUAGUCCAACGUGCCUUCAGUCCAGACUUCCUCUCUGCCACUACUCACACCAGUGCAGCUCUCCGUUUGGUCCAGCCCUCGGUUCGUUGCUCCCAUCCAUCGUCCUUCUCAGUCGCAAUCAACUCGGCUGUAACUCUCAAUUGCUGACAACACAGUCGCACCCUCGAGCCCUUGUUUUUCAAAUCGUAUCCACUUGAAGCCCUCAACACUUUGAAAGUUCUAUUGCCACCUACUAACCCUAGACACGUGUCAGCAUGUCAAGCAAUGAAGAAAUUUCAUCCCAAAUCAGUGGGCCUACACAAUCUCAGGCCCAUAAUCAAUCCACCACUAACUCUAUCAAGUCUAGGCCCACAAUCCCUAAUCCAUCUUCCUUAUUAACCAAGUUUGUUCCCGACUCUCAUAGUACCUCAACUACACACUCUGGUAAUAUUUCUUCUACUUUCCAAACACCAUGGAUAAUCGAUUCCGAUGCAACUGAUCACAUGACAGGAUCUAUCAUCGGGGAGCACAAUUGGCAGUGCUAGGAUUCGUGACGGACUUUAUUUCUUUCAGCACCUGAACAAAGAGCAGUCUUCUAGGCACUGUUUAACUUCAAGUUCUAUUUCUAACACUUUUUUAUUCAACUUCUCAAAAAAUUAUGUUGUGGCACUAUCGACUUGGACAUCCAAGUUUUUUAUAUUAAAAGCUUUUGUUUCCUACUUUGUUUAUCAAUAAAAAAGUUGCUGAUUUUCAAUGUGAUAUUUGCCAACUUGCUAAACA